UACUCUGUUUUUCUUCAUAUCGUAUAAAUCUUUCGCCUUUUACUAAAGAUUUCCGUGGGGAAGAACUUUAUGAGCAUUAACCAAUUUUUUGAAGUCCUACUCUAUAGUGGGGCU